AAAUAAAAAAACAAAAAAAAGGAGAGAAGCAGUUCCACAUUGUUAGAAUGUGUGUGUGUCUGUAUAAUCUUGGUCGGGUUGGCCGCGCCAUGCCUCUCUCUUUUUUUUUUUUUUUUUUUUU
rnacentral:ribozyme from 16 species